rnacentral:lncRNA from 1 species
UAUGAAGAAAAAUGGGCUGUUGGGUUUUCUAUCACAUGGAGACUCUGGUUUUGGAACCCCAAGGCAUGACCUCACUUCCUUGGCAACAUCUCCAAACAGAACUUGGAACCCUUGAUAAUGGGCAUCACAAUCUAAUACCAUCUGUCUCCCAAGCUCAUUUCGCUGGAGAAGGUCAACACCAAACAUGCUGAACUGCUUCUCCACCCUGAGAGGCCAUGGCCUCAGGACCCCAGACAGAGAGAGUAUCUGUGAAAGAUUAAGAAGAUGGGAGACUGCAUUAAGACACCACAGGCCACAUGGAAGCAGCUGCAUGACUGUCACAGACACACCAGGGAAGGUCUCCCUGGGAAUGACAACCGGUGACCUACCACAAUCAAGGCUUGGCAGCUGCUAUUGGAAACAAGUUCACAGAGAGCCUUGAAGAAUUCCAGCCAGUGUGGUCCCUGUAGGCAGUCAGGCCACACUCAUUCUUCAAGCCCUUUCUGCCCAUGAUCAGACAGUCUCCAUUCCAUCUUGAUCAAAGCUUUGAUAACCCUUAUGAAAACUCAAUAAAUUGUCUCUUGCAAGUAAUUUUGGAAAGAGAAAUUUUCAUACCCCUUUGUCUGAAGAUGGUGCAAGUGUCCUUGACAGAUUUCUGAACAGGGACCCAAAGGUACAAUUGGGUUGUCAUCCCUGAAAGGGCUUUGCUGAUGUUCAGGAGCAUCCGUUCUUUCAAAAUGUUGACUGGGACAUGAUGAAGUGAAAAUAUGUAUUGCCUCC